UGGGGAAUAUUGGACAAUGGGGGCAACCCUGAUCCAGCAAUGCCGCGUGUGUGAAGAAGGCCUGCGGGUUGUAAAGCACUUUCAGCGAGGAAGAAAGGUGAGUUGUUAAUAGCGACUUAUUUUGACGUUACUCGCAGAAGAAGCACCGGCUAACUCUGUGCCAGCAGCCGCGGUAAUACAGAGGGUGCAAGCGUUAAUCGGAAUUACUGGGCGUAAAGCGUGCGUAGGUUGUUAGAUAAGUCAGGUGUAAAAAUUCAGAGCUCAACUUUGGACUGUCGCUUGAUACUGUUUGACUAGAGUACUGUAGAGGAUAGUGGAAUUUCCGGUGUAGCGGUGAAAUGCGUAGAUAU
rnacentral:rRNA from 1 species